UCAUUAAAGAGUUCUAUAACUCCCAAACCCAUGUGAACAUACCUAACGUUGCCUCGGCAGGUCGCACCUACCUUGUAGCACCCUACCCUGUAGGGCCUACCCGGGAGGUGCGGGUAAGCCUGCCGGCGGCCCACCAAACUCUGUUUGAUAUUGAAUUCUGAACCUAUAACUAAAUAAGUUAAAACUUUCAACAACGGAUCUCUUGGUUCUGGCAUCGAUGAAGAACGCAGCGAAAUGCGAUAAGUAAUGUGAAUUGCAGAAUUCAGUGAAUCAUCGAAUCUUUGAACGCAUAUUGCGCCCAUUAGUAUUCUAGUGGGCAGGACCGUUCGAGCGUCAUUUCAACCCUUAAGCCUUCGUUGCUUAGUGUUGGGAGCCUACGGCAACGUAGCUCCUCAAAGUUAGUGGCGGAGUUGGUUCACACUCUAGACGUAGUAAUUUUUUAUCUCGCCUAUUAGUUGGACUAAUCCCCUGCCGUAAAACCCCCAAUUUAUCAAGGUUGACCUCGAAUCGGUUCAGACAAACUCGCUAAAUUGAAGCAUCUUAGUCAGCGAAGGAAAAGAAACCAACAGGGAUUGCCCUAGUAACGGCGAGUGAAGCGGCAACAGCUCAAAUUUGAAAUCUGGCCCUCGGGUCCGAGUUGUAAUUUGUAGAGGAUGCUUUUGGCGCGGUGCCUUCCGAGUUCCCUGGAACGGGACGCCUUAGAGGGUGAGAGCCCCGUACGGUUGGACACCAAGCCUCUGUAAAGCUCCUUCGACGAGUCGAGUAGCUUGGGAAUGCUGCUCUAAAUGGGAGGUAAAUUUCUUCUAAAGCUAAAUAUUGGCCAGAGACCGAUAGCGCACAAGUAGAGUGAUCGAAAG
rnacentral:rRNA from 1 species